UCCGUAGGUGAACCUGCGGAAGGAUCAUUAUCGUUGGGGCUUCGGCCCCGUCGAGAUAGAACCCUUGCCAUUUAUUUGCGUACCUGUUCGUUUCCUCGGUGGGCUCGCCCGCCAAUGGGGACCUUAACUUAACUCUUGUAUCAUCGUCUGUAUAGUCUGAAUCAAAAUUAAAAUUAAAACUUUCAACAACGGAUCUCUUGGUUCUGGCAUUGAUGAAGAACGCAGCGAAAUGCGAUAAGUAGUGUGAAUUGCAGAAUUCAGUGAAUCAUCGAAUCUUUGAACGCACCUUGCGCUCUUUGGUAUUCCAAGGAGCAUGCCUGUUUGAGUGUCAUGUAAUUCUCAACCUUUUCUGGCUUGUUAUAAGCUGGUUCAGGCUUGGACUAUGGAAGGUUGCUGGCUUCAUAGAGGUCAGCUCUUCUGAAAUACAUUAGCAAGAUUAUUGCUGCUCAUCUUUAAUAUGAUAAUUAUCUGUAUUAUUGAAGAGUCAGUCUCCUUUAUUGGAAAGUCUUGCUUCAAAUAGUCUCUUUCGAGACAAUACUUGACAAUUUUGACCUCAAAUCAGGGUAGGGGACUACCCGGCUGGAACUUAAGGCAUAUCAAUAAGGCGGGAGGGAAGGUCGGACUGGCCAAGGGGCACACAGGGGGGGGGAUA
rnacentral:rRNA from 1 species